rnacentral:lncRNA from 1 species
CUCAGCUCCUGGGGGCCGGGCCCCAGCUCCCACAGCAGAAGCGAGAUCUCCAACAAGGCCCACAGGAGAGAAAACCGCCGCCCUUCCUCAGGCCUCCAACAGCACCAAGAAUGCCCACUGUCUACACUAACCAGAAACGUGUGACCUGGAGGCUGGGAGCCCAGCCCGGGGUGACCCCGGUUCCCAGCCAGCUCUGCCCUCACUGUGGGGCUGGAGGGCAGCCGCCUGUUUAACCUUGUCUCGAGCUCUUCAGCUGUAAACCAGCGAUAAGGCCAGCAAUCUGGGGCACGCAGGAAGGGGGUGGGGGUGCAGAGGGGGGUCUUUUGGUGGCUGAUAACACAGUCUCUACAGCACAGUGCCCAGCACAGAGUGAAGGCCCCCAGUGGCUGUAACCAUGGGAGCAUUUAAACACACUGCUUUCCCUGGCUCUCUGUUUCAUGAGGAGGAGAUUUUGUCUCCCCAGUGAAAUGCCAUCUCUGGAGUGUGUUCUGAUUUCUGUGUCUAUCGGCUGUUCCCCAUCCCUGCAGACCCCAGGCUCUAAGCUAUGGGGGUCCUGGCUCUUGCCUUCUCGCCAGUCUACCCAGCUCCAGAUUUCAUCAGCCCCCGACUCACGCAGCCCACCCCACCCACAUCCCCAGCCCACGGCCUCCACUCUUGCCCCCUAGUCUCCCACCCUACUCUGACCCUCCUCCAGCCCCUCCCAUGAGCUGCCCAAGGACUCCACGUCGUCCAUGGCCACUGGCAACACUCUGCUCAGAAGCAGUCAUCGGCUCUUCCUUCCACAGAAUAGCAACCGCUUUCUGAUGCUCUGCACCGCGCUUUACUCCCCCGGUUCAAAACCUCCCAGAGGCUUCAUGCUGUGCUCGAAGUAAAAGCAGAGCUCCUUCUCCUGGACUUCUCAGCCCUGGGGACCUGGUCCCUGCCUGCCUUGCAGGCCUCUCCCCACACCCCACUCAGCCACCAGGCCAGAGCCUCAGAAACCCCUCAAGCACAUGAAGCUCUAUUGCCCGCAGGACCUUUGCACCUCUGGGCCUGUCCCUAGAAUGCUCAUGCCCCCUCUUCAAAUACCUGACUCCGUGCAGAUCUCGCCCCAGAAACAGCCAACUGCAGAGCAGCUCCAGCCUCUACCCUCCACAUGCCUUGACUCUCCCUAUAUGCUUCCUGCCUUCUGAUGGUUGCGGGGGUACUGAGCGAGCUCCCUCUGUCUCCUCACACGAGAAUGUCAGCUCCUUGAGGGCAGGGCCCUCGCAAGCCUCGCCGCCGAUUCCUCCCCAGUGCCUACAACCACAGCAGGUGCUCAACAGAGCCUGGAUGAGUGACUCUACAUAAAUUCCCACUGACCUUCACGAGGACCCUGCAGGGCAGGUCUCAUGCUCCCUCUACAGCUGACGAAACAGCUGUCUCUCCUCCACCUGCCUACUGCUGGAAACCACAGGACACAACCAGGAAAACAUCUGUAAGUCCUUGACUCGUCAAUGACCACAAAAGUGACCAUAUACGUCAAUAGCAC